CCCUUAGAUGUUCUGGGCCGCACGCGCGCUACAAUGAUGAAUUCAACGAGUUUAUAACCUUGGUUGAAAAGCCUGGGUAAUCUUUUGAACUUUCGUCGUGAUGGGGCUAGACCCUUGCAAUUAUUGGUCUCCAACGAGGAAUUCCUAGUAAACGCAAGUCAUCAGCUUACAUUGAUUACGUCCCUGCCCUUUGUACACACCGCCCGUCGCACCUACCGAUUGAACGGUUUAGUGAGGGCCUCGGAUUGGUCUCGGCCCGCUCUUUACCGGGCGGCGCCGUUGGUCGAGAAGACGCUCGAACUUGAUCGUUUAGAGGAAGUAAAAGUCGUAACA
rnacentral:rRNA from 1 species